CCCAAACGUGCUUCGGGCUAGGGCAGAACGUGUUUCAGACACAGCCGGACAGGACACAGGCACGGUAUUACGUCCAAUACAGGAAGCUAACCCGUCAAGGUUAGAUACGGUUACAUGUGUCUGUUAUGCUUUCCGGGUGUCUCAAUGGAUCAUCAAGGGCUUUUUUUUAAACAAAAGCAAUUUAACAAAUCAUUGGAGGAGAUCGUAGAAACUAUUUAGAACACAACGAACCAGUUCAAACCAGUCACAGUUUGCACUGGUUGUUAGAUAAACGAUCAUUUUGUUUAAUUCGUGACCGAUCACUGAAAGAACCGGUUGCAGUAAACUAGCAAUACAUGCCUAGACGUGCAAUCAUGAUUGAUCAAGUGCUAAUAAAUUAACAUAUUGCAGCUAUCCUAACGAAACCGCUAAAGUAAUGGAGACUAUCAAUAUAAUGCGGUAAUUCCCAAUCGAUCCAGCAAUACGUAUCAUUCCAUUUUCAUCAUUAUAGAGCUUCAAAUUUGCUCGUAGCGAACGGAUUUUUCAAAAGCAUUACUGCUCCUGCUUUACCUUCAUUAUUUACUGGUGAAGUUAAUAAACUUGUUCCAUUAUUUUAACGCUCCAAUGAUAACGCCUUCAGCUCAACAAAGGAAUAACGAAAGCAUAAAUAAUAAACUUAAAAUCCCCCGGCCCAGCCCGGUCGAAUCGAACACCACCAACUUCCUUUCUAGGUGGAUCGAUCAUGCAGCAGUCACGUGAUAUCGCUAACCAGUAGCCGCACUCUAGCUGAUUCGAGCCCACACGCACACACACACCCACAAACACCCAACCCAUACACAGCCAUCGAACGCUCGCAGUAACAUUGCCAAAGUUGAUAGCUCCAAAGCACAUUGGGGCUGCAUUUGGGGUCCCGCUUGGGUCAAAAACUUAGAGCAAAACAAAAACGACCCAAAACGAAAGGAAAAAAAACAGAACUCAAAAAAAAAACACCAACUAACACAAAGCGAUCGAAACGAAUCAUCCUCUCUCGGGGUGGCACACUGAUCCCCACCACAAAACCACAGCCUGAAUAAUGAUGCGUGAUGGAGCAGGUUUUUGCUUCAUGGAAGAGUUUGUUCCAUUUUUUGUGUGUGUCUGUCUGUUUUUUAACUUCAUUCAAACCUCUCGAGUCUUUGAUGGAAUAGAGGGCAUAUAAUUUACUAAUUACAGGAUUUUCCAAAACCAAAUGUAAAAAAUUUUUCAAUUGAAGUUAAUCGUAACGUUUUUUUUCUCCAAACCGUUAUUAGACCUAAUGAACAAAGUAGAUUUAAUGUUUUGCCCAUUACUGACUUUUGUGAAGAUUUACUUGUAUAGAAGAUCAAAUAUGUAUCAUGAACGUUCAGUAGAUUAAUUCAUGUUUUUGUUAUGUUAUUAAAACUAAAUUAAAAAUUGAGUACAUUAGUAUCUUAUCUUGACUUCUUGAUCGGAACUACUAAUGUCGAUCAACAUUUCACACAUCUAUGCGAAUUUAAAGCCAAAGAUAAAUUCAUCCAAAAGUCAAUUUUAUAUGUUGCAGUUCACUACAGAGGGAAACUUUCAACACUCAUGGAAAUUGAAGAUUAAAAUAAAAUAAUCGUGAUUUUCUCUUCAUCUUAUCAAGUCAGUCAGCUCACAACGGCCAUCACACAUCCAACGCGUGAGAUAGCAAAUGGCAAAUCAAAUGCAUUACGAUUAUGUUGAAGCGAUAAACACAAUUAGCAUUACGGAAGAAAUAUAAUCACAAUAUAAUCC